CAUUGCUUUCUGCAGAGAAAUUCUCUAAAGGCCACCAAAGGGCCCUAAGGAACAAGACAUGCAACUGCACCCAGGAUGAAUUCUGGAUAAGAGCCAGACAUACACUGGAGCAUCUUUCAACCUAGUGCCAAAAUCUGACAUGGAACGGCAGAGUGAAUGCAGCCAACUACAGCAGAGUACAAGAGGAGUCACACGGGUCACAGCUACUCGGCACUUAAGCUGCUUUUGCGAACUGCAGCCUCUGCUCUCACCAUGUGGCCUUCUGAAUCAUCACCCCAACUGCCUAUCAGCGGAACAAAGAGUGGACCUGAGUGAUAAUCAGAAUCGUCAUCUGCAGGAAUAUCUGCCACAGAGAAAACAAAAAACCCAUGACAGGAGGCAAUUGGUCUGCCUUCUUCUUUAUUGUCACCCAUCAUCUAAUCCUGUGCCUGGUAUGUUUGCAUCUAUCAGAGGAGUGGAUGCAUGUGCGAAACUACUGAGGAAUACAGAUAUGUGAAAACCCUUUCAAUGUUAGGAAUCAGCAAACAUGGAUCACAGGAACUGAGGAAUGGGAGCUGUUGAGAGAGGUAAAUGUUCAAUUUCAGAGGACCACAACUACGAUGUUGAAGAGUUAUAAACAAUAAUUAGCAGGAAGUACAAUGACUAACACAGUGUGUUGAUGAUAAGAGUCUUACGAUGGAAAUAGUUAAUGAUUAAUUUGGUUACAGUAAGU
rnacentral:lncRNA from 12 species